rnacentral:rRNA from 1 species
GACGAACGCUGGCGGCGUGCUUAACACAUGCAAGUCGAACGGUGAAGCGCCUUCCUUUUUGGUGGGUGUGGAUGAGUGGCGAACGGGUGAGUAACACGUGAGUAACCUGCCCCCUUCUUCUGGAUAACCGCAUGAAAGUGUGGCUAAUACGGGAUAUUCUGGGUCUGUCGCAUGAUGGGUCUGGGAAAGAUAUUGUUUCGGUGGGGGAUGGGCUCGCGGCCUAUCAGCUUAUUGGUGGGGUGAUGGCCUACCAAGGCGGUGACGGGUAGCCGGCCUGAGAGGGUGGACGGUCACACUGGGACUGAGACACGGCCCAGACUCCUACGGGAGGCAGCAGUGGGGAAUAUUGCACAAUGGGCGCAAGCCUGAUGCAGCGACGCCGCGUGAGGGAUGGAGGCCUUCGGGUUGUGAACCUCUUUCGCCAGUGAAGCAGGCCUGCCUCGUUUGUGGGUGGGUUGACGGUAGCUGGAUAAGAAGCGCCGGCUAACUACGUG